GUAAUCAAGCCUGUAGAGAAGUGGAAUCUUCAAAGACGCGUCUAUUUCCCUUUCGUCAUCAUUACCCUGGGCAGUAAUCAGAGCAGCAGGGGAAUAGGAGACUCCAGUGUCAACAGCAGCCACUGGCUUCAGAAGCAGGGAAUGAAUGGAAGAUUAAGAGAUUUGUGACUGUGGAAGCUGUGCAGUAUGGUCUCCUAAAUUCACAGAUUGAGAGCUUAAAAGUCACCUGAUCCAACUCCUUUCACUCUACGAAAGAAGAAACUGAGGCUCCCUGAAGACAGGACCACAAAGGCACACAGUGUUACAGCUGUGUGCAAGAUGAUCAGAAAGGGGAAGACAUGAAGCUGGCUCUUGUAAUAGUCCUGGCAAAGGUGAUGAAGGUCUGAGGAAAAACAGUGGCUAGCCAAGUUCUGAUAGGUCUUACCAAAAUUAAAAAAAAAAUAAAAAAUUUUAAAAAAGAAAGUGAAAUUUAAAAGAAAAAAACUGAAAACAAAAAACAAAUAAAAAUGAAA